AACGAACGCUGGCGGCAGGCUUAACACAUGCAAGUCGAGCGAGAAAAGUUCUUCGGAGCUUUUCUAGCGGCGGACGGGUGAGUAACACGUGGGCAACCUGCCUCAUAGAGGGGAAUAGCCUUCCGAAAGGAAGAUUAAUACCGCAUAAUAUUGUUGAAAGGCAUCUUUUAACAAUCAAAGGAGCAAUCCGCUAUGAGAUGGGCCCGCGGCGCAUUAGCUAGUUGGUGAGGUAACGGCUCACCAAGGCGACGAUGCGUAGCCGACCUGAGAGGGUGAUCGGCCACAUUGGAACUGAGACACGGUCCAGACUCCUACGGGAGGCAGCAGUGGGGAAUAUUGCACAAUGGGGGAAACCCUGAUGCAGCAACGCCGCGUGAGUGAUGAAGGUCUUCGGAUUGUAAAGCUCUGUCUUUAGGGACGAUAAUGACGGUACCAAAGGAGGAAGCCACGGCUAACUACGUGCCAGCCGCCGCAGUAAUAC
rnacentral:rRNA from 1 species